rnacentral:rRNA from 1 species
GAACGCGAAGAACCUUACCCGGGCUUGAACCAAGAGUGCGGAGUGCAGAGAUGCGCUUUUUCUUCGGACACUUUUAGAGGUGCUGCAUGGUUGUCGUCAGCUCGUGCCGUGAGGUGUCGGCUUAAGUGCCAUAACGAGCGCAACCCUUUUCUACGUUUGCCAUCGGGUAAUGCCGGGAACUCCGUGGAUACUGCCGCCGCAAGGCGGAGGAAGGUGGGGAUGACGUCAAAUCAGCACGGCCCUUACGUCCGGGGCUACACACGUGUUACAAUGGUCGGAGCAGCAGGAAGCUACCUGGCGACAGGAUGCUGAUCCCAAAACCCGGCCUCAGUUCGGACUGGAGUCUGCAACCCGACUCCACGAAGCCGGAUUCGCUAGUAAUCGCGCAUCAGCCAUGGCGCGGUGAAUACGUUCCCGGGUCUUGUACACACC